rnacentral:rRNA from 1 species
UGGGGAAUCUUGCGCAAUGGGCGAAAGCCUGACGCAGCAACGCCGCGUGAGCGAAGACGGCCUUCGGGUUGUAAAGCUCUGUCAGGAGGGACGAAGCCACUCGGGUGAACAGCCCAGAGGGUGACGGUACCUCCAGAGGAAGCCCCGGCUAACUACGUGCCAGCAGCCGCGGUAAUACGUAGGGGGCGAGCGUUGUCCGGAAUCAUUGGGCGUAAAGCGCGUGUAGGCGGCCGACCAAGUCCGAUGUGAAAGCUCGGGGCUCAACCCCGAGUCUGCAUUGGAAACUGAUCGGCUAGAGUCCGGAAGAGGAGACUGGAAUUCCUGGUGUAGCGGUGAAAUGCGCAGAUAUCAGGAAGAACACCGGUGGCGAAGGCGGGUCUCUGGGACGGUACUGACGCUGAGACGCGAAAGCGUGGGGAGCAAACAGG